AUUUAUUUACAAUUGUCAAACGAUUUUAAUGUACUUUCGAGUAAUUGCGAGUAAAAUUUAAAAAAAAACUGGUAAAUGAUAAGGGCUCAUUGCAUAACUAAGUAACACUAAGAAUGGCUCCAACGCUAAAAAACAUCUCUGAAAAACCAACCCACCCUGUCACGUUUGGUCACAUUUUCCUAGACCAACCCUCCAACUACCCUGACCAUGACAUCAAUUUAUUUUUCUUCACAAAAUUCUAUUAUUAAAUUCAUUUUUUUAUCCUUUAGUAGUGUUACACUGAAAUUAUACAAUUUUAUUGAAAUUGUUUUGGAUGGAAACAAUUAUCAAAUGGUCAGAUGAACAACUCUGGAACAUAAAGAAAUAUAAACAAAAUGAAACUAUCGUCUCAGUCUAAAUUAUUCCUUAAAUGCUUUCCGUGAUUUAUUCAUUGAAUGUUUUUAUGAAAGUCAAUCAUCGUUUACUAAUAAUGUAAAAUCAAUCGUUGAUGAACGAGAGUGGAGUAUUUUGAUUGACGAUAGAAAAACAUCCUACGAAACUUCUUGCAAUAAUUAUUUUGUUAAUCAUUACAUAAAAUCUGGAAGAAAGUUAUCGUGGUUAAUCGUUAAUAAAAAUAUUUUAAGGGAUGAAGAAAUAAAUCUUUUAGCUCAAUGCUCAAAUAAUGUUCGCGAAGUCUACUUUUUAUGUCCAAUUAAUUUUGGGGGAUGGAAACCGAAAGAGAAUAUUGAAUUGUUGUGGAUAAAAAUCUCACGUUAUUUAAUAACAAAAAAAGAUUUUGAAGAAAACUUUCUCCCUUGGAUUAUUCUUUGUGAAGAAUUUUAUCUUAGUCUCCAUGACGACAUUGAUUUCUUGAAAGACAUUUAUAAAUGGAUACGUUAUUUGAAUAUCAAGUCGUUGUUGAUCGAAUACCGUGGAAAUGUUCUCCGUAACCUCAAUGAAUUGAAAAACUUUAUAACGCCUAAAACUAUUUAAU
rnacentral:misc_RNA from 1 species